UACGUAGGGGGCAAGCGUUGUCCGGAUUUAUUGGGCGUAAAGCGCGUGUAGGCGGCUUUGCAAGUCGGGUGUGAAAUCCCUCGGCUUAACCGAGGAAGUGCGCCCGAAACUGCAGAGCUUGAGUACCGGAGAGGAUGGUGGAAUUCCCCAAGUAGAGGUGAAAUUCGUAGAUAUGGGGAGGAACACCGGUGGCGAAGGCGACCAUCUGGACGGAUACUGACGCUGAGACGCGAAAGCGUGGGGAGCAAACAGG
rnacentral:rRNA from 1 species